AAGACCAAGAGGGGAGAGGCGGCGCUGGCAAGGCUGAAGGCGUACGAGGGCGUGCCGCCGCCGUACGACAGGACCAAGCGCAUGGUCAUCCCCGACGCGCUCAAGGUUCUGAGGCUGCAGCCUGGGCACAAGUACUGCCUCCUCGGCCAGCUCUCCAAGGAGGUUGGCUGGAACUACUAUGACACCAUCAGGGAGCUUGAGGAGAAGAGGAAGGAGAAGGCCAAGGUUGCCUAUGACAGGAGGAAGCAACUGG
rnacentral:misc_RNA from 1 species